rnacentral:tRNA from 1 species
GAAGCCGUGCCUGAAGUAAAGGGCCACUUUGAUAGAGUGAAUCAUGAGGGUUAGAGCCCCUCCAGCUUCU